rnacentral:rRNA from 1 species
AGAGUGAACGCUGGCGGUAGGCCUAACACAUGCAAGUCGAACGGCAGCACGGUACGAGCUUGCUCUUAUGGGUGGCGAGUGGCGGACGGGUGAGGAAUACAUCGGAAUCUACCUUUUGGUGGGGGAUAACGUAGGGAAACUUACGCUAAUACCGCAUACGCCCUUCGGGGAAAGCCGGGGACCAGCAAUGGCCUGGCGCUGAUAGAUGAGCCGAUGUCGGAUUAGCUAGUUGGUGAGGUAAUGGCUCACCAAGGCGACGAUCCGUAGCUGGUCU